rnacentral:rRNA from 1 species
UCGAGAAUAGUCUACAAUGGUCGGAAGACUGAUAGUGCGACGCCGCGUGAACGAUGAAGCCCUUCGGGGUGUAAAGUUCUUUUAUAUGUGAGCAGUGGGUUUUACGUUAAUAGCGUGGAAUCAGGGAUAUUAGCAUAUGAAUAAGCAACGGCUAACUCCGUGCCAGCAGCCGCGGUAACACGGGGGUUGCGAGCGUUGUCCGGAAUUACUAGGCGUAAAGGGCAGGUAGGCGGAUCUAUAAGUUUUUUGUCAAAUUCAACGGCUCACCCGUUGCGCGGCAGGAGAUACUGUAGAUCUGGAAUGCGGUUGGGGAAGACAGAAUUCCUGGUGUAGCGGUGGAAUGCGCAGAGAUCAGGAGGAAUACCGAAGGCGAAGGCAGUCUUCUAAGCCGUAAUUGACG